AUGGCAUCCCUCCUACAGAAAGUGGGCAGGAGCCCCAGCUUCAGCUUCAGAAGAAAUCUCCCUAAAACCUACUGCCAUCAGGAGCCGCUCUUAACAAUGAUCACAAGAAGGCACUGGAAAAGAGAAUUAUUCUAGACUGCAGUUUAUUUGGACUUGCUCCUAUGUGGAAAUCAAGCCUUUGAAGACAGGCAUAAAAUCAUUGUAGGAGGUGAAAGAGGAGUUUCACAGCUGGUGAUCAAAAUGAGUGGCCAGGGAAUUCGUGGGUUUUCAGUUGAUUGGAGGAGGCCCACUCACACUGGAAAACUUGCAGUGAUCCUCAUAUCUCUGUUUCCUGAGUGCUGGGAUUAGAGGAAUGCACCACCAAGACUGACCAAUUCAAGGGUUGAUCACAUUGAAAACUACUUUUGCUGCAACUUCUGUAUUGGUGUUUGAGUGAACAUCUGAAUCCCAUAAUCAACCCAAAGUGACACAUAAAAUUAACCAGGCCAGAUGAUACUGUGGAAUCUCAGAAAAGUGGUGUAUUUGGGAUUUCCACUGAUGGGUGCAUGGCUCCAGGAGCUGUCCAUCAACCCCUAUGGUCUCAUUGUGUGUGUGUUUGUUUGUUUGUAUGUGUGUGUGUUACCUAAGGAACUUCUGUGCUGUUUAUGGGGGAAACCUCCUAAGAUUGCUCAGGUUUCUGCACAUGGCACCUCUGAAAGACCAGUCCCUGGGUUCCACAUGUGGGAAGGCGUGUGGGAAGGCAGGUGUUCCUGGAUAGAUGUCCAAACUGAGCUCAGGCUUCGUUCAGUUAUACUCAGCUCAAUCCAACCUGCAUUGUUCAGUCCUGACUAUGAUCAGUUUGCUCUGAAAAGUAGAUGAAAAUGUAGGACUCAAGCCCUUUGGAUCUGGCAAAGUGUAGGCAGGCAAGCACAGAAAGUAUUUAGAACAAGAACAGUUGGGAUGCAUGCUGUCCUGGGAAGCCAGGGUUGUCAUUGAUGGCUGACCUGCCAUAUCACUCAGGCCAAACCUUACUGAUUUAUAGUCCUUGUUAGGCAAUGUUGAAAAUUAUAGUUUUGAGGGCUGAGGAUGCAGCUGGGUUGGUAGAGUGCCUGUUUAGCAAGUGCCUUGGGUUCAGGCCCCAGCACAUCAUAUAAUACAGACAUGGAGGCACACACUUGUAAUCCCAGCACUUGGGAAAUGGAGAAAGGAGGAUAAGAAGGUCAAGA